UCCAUUCUCUCUACACCACGUACACCCAGCAAUUAGCUACAAUAUAGGGCGGGGUCCCCCUGUUGAGGCACACACACUCUGAAAGAUAAUUGGGCUAAAUUAUACCUCAACCAUUUUUCUCUACUGCCAGCCUCUCCCCCCGGCACUUUU
ensembl:ncRNA C28A5.8 ncRNA